rnacentral:tRNA from 2 species
GCGGAUGUGAUGGAAUUGGUAGACAUGCUAGACUUAGGAUCUAGUGCCGCGAGGCGUGGGGGUUCGACUCCCUUCAUCCGCACCA